ensembl:snRNA U6 U6 spliceosomal RNA
GUGCUCGCUUUGGCAACACAUAUACUAAAAUUGGAAUGAUACCGAGAAGAUUAGCAUGGCCCCUGCGCAAGGAUGAUAUGCAAAUUCAUGAAGUGUUCCAUAUUUUU